GAGAGCCCACAGCAAUUCUCUUUCCUACGUGGCGCUCUCAAAAGUCUCUAUUUCAAUUUAUCUAAUUCACAUCUUACGUCUCAAUUCUCAAGCUUACACUUCAAAUCUCAAGCUUUGCAAAUCUAUUUUAAAUAAUUACCGUUACAAAAUUAGAUUAGCAAAUUCUUCUCAAAUCUAUUUCCAGCUGUCUGCAAAUCUCAUGCUCAAUCACCGUUACAAACUUAGAUUAGCAAUUGAUCUUCAAAUUCUUCUCAAAUCUCUUUCAAUCCCUCUGCAAAUCGUUCUCAAAUUCAAUCUCUCGAUCCCUCUCAAAUCUAUCUCCACCCGUGUGCAAAUCAUUCUCAAAUCUCAUCUCCCAUCGUCUGCAAAUCCUUAUCACAACAAUUGAUGUGCUAAUAUCUAUCCACCACAGAUACAUCCCGAUUGGAAAUUAUGAUUUGGUGCUUCACCUCCCCCGCCUGAUAUCGGAACCUAUUUUUGCGGAUACAUCCCAAUUGAAAAUCAGGAUUUGGUGCUCCACCUCCCCCGCCUGAUUUCGUAACCUAUUUUUCAAGAAUUGCGAGAUGGAUCUCCCGAGCUUGGCUUUGAUCCUACAGGGUGCACUCAGCACCAAUCCUGACCAACAGAGGGCCGCUAGAGAAAGUCUCAAUCAAAAUCAGAUUCAGUAUGCGCCCUAGCAUUUGGUGAGGUUGUUGUAUAUCAUAGUAGAAGUCAGCUGCAAUUUAGAGGUUAGACAAGUCGCUAGCAUUAUCUUCAAUAAUUUCAUUGCUAAAUAUUGGGCUUCUCAUGAUGCAGAGUAAGUGGUGUAAAGUCCACAUAAUGAUGACAAUGAUGCUGAAGCAAAAGAAAAUGAUGCUGAAACAUGAGAAAAUUCAAGGAUUCGUCUCUUUGGAAUCUCGGAAGACAAUGCUCAAGAAAGAACAAGCAAUGGAUGCACGUGCUUUAGUGGCAGGAUUUGAGAUGGACUACAUAUAUGAUCUUGUAUCUUUCAGUGAUGCUUUUGGAGCUCUCCGUUAAGCUGCAGUUAAUGCAUCUUGAAUUUGCCGUUGUUUGCUCUUGCUCUCUCUCUCUCUCCACUACAGAGAUAAGUGACUCGGCGAAGGAGCCUUAUGAAGAAUACGAGGAUGAAGUAACCAACGUCCAAGAUAAUAGUGAAUGGGAUAGAAUAAGUAUUAUAGAUUGUUGAAAUUACUUCCUAUCAUUUUUUUAGCAAGUUCUGUAUUAUAAGCCAAAUAAUGUCUUUUUUAUAAUAGUGCUUUAUUAAAA